AGCAAAUUGAACUUGAUAUGGCAACAAGCGGAAGAGAAACUUGCAUUGUUGAAAGAGAUACUAGCAUUGUUGAUGCAUAGUUUGAACAAGUGGUUCAACUAUGCCUCGUGGUCCUAAAGCUAGAUCGCCUAUUUGGGAACAUUUUGAGCUAGUUGAAGUAAAUGAAGAAGCCCGCAAAGCAAAGUGCCUUCAUUGUGGCCGAGUUUAUAAUUGUCAUCCAAAGUAUUAUGGCAC